rnacentral:rRNA from 1 species
CAGAGGUCCCGAGCGUUGUUCGGAUUCACUGGGCGUAAAGGGUGCGUAGGUGGUGAGGUAAGUCGGAUGUGAAAUCUCCGGGCUCAACCCGGAAAUGGCAUUGGAAACUACCUUGCUGGAGGAUUUGAGGGGGGAUUGGAAUACUUGGUGUAGCAGUGAAAUGCGUAGAUAUCAAGUGGAACACCAGUGGCGAAGGCGAAUCCCUGGAAAUACCUGACACUGAGGCACGAAAGCUAGGGGAGCAAACAGGAUUAGAUACCCUGGUAGUCCUAGCCCUAAACGGUGCUUGCUUGCUGUAAGAGGAAUCGACCCCUCUUGUGGCGGAGCUAACGCGUUAAGCAAGCCGCCUGGGAAGUACGGUCGCAAGAUUA